CCUACGGGUGGCAGCAGUGGGGAAUAUUGGACAAUGGGCGAAAGCCUGAUCCAGCCAUGCCGCAUGUGUGAAGAAGGCCUUCGGGUUGUAAAGCACUUUCAGUGGGGAAGAAAGCCUUGGGGCUAAUACCCUCGAGGAAGGACAUCACCCACAGAAGAAGCACCGGCUAACUCCGUGCCAGCAGCCGCGGUAAUACGGAGGGUGCGAGCGUUAAUCGGAAUUACUGGGCGUAAAGCGCGCGUAGGCGGUCUGAUAAGCCGGUUGUGAAAGCCCCGGGCUCAACCUGGGAACGGCAUCCGGAACUGUCAGGCUAGAGUGCAGGAGAGGAAGGUAGAAUUCCCGGUGUAGCGGUGAAAUGCGUAGAGAUCGGGAGGAAUACCAGUGGCGAAGGCGGCCUUCUGGACUGACACUGACGCUGAGGUGCGAAAGCGUGGGUAGCAAACAGGAUUAGAUACCCCGGUAGUC
rnacentral:rRNA from 1 species